UCAAACUAUUUUGUUUGUUGUUCUGCUGCUAAUUAUGCUGAACUAGCAAAAAGUGAAUAGCAAAGACUCUAUUCCCACAUUGCUGGAAGUUAAGGCUGCCCCCCCCCCCCCAAUACGUGAGAUAAGCCAUUGCCUAGGCUGCCCCCCCCAUAGGCGAGAUAAGCCAUUGCCUAGGUUGCCAACUGAAAAUGGUCAGGUCCAGUUGGGGAGCAUGCACUGAAGCAGCACGUUGUCGCCCCCACCACAUAGCGAAACUCCUCGGGAUCCCGGCUGGCCACGUCCCAGGAAGAUACACAGUCCAGUCCCACCCUCCGGAAAUGGCUAUCCAUCUGCUGCAGCCAGGUGUUACGUGGGCGUCCCCUCGGCCUGGUCCAGCCACUCAGGUCCUCAGUAAUGAGGAUCCAGCGAGCUGGAUCACCCUCAGGGAAACGCGCCACAUGGCUGUAGUGCCGUAACUGACGCUCCGCACAUGCUUCUAGCAACCACUCGUUCAUCAUAAAGUCAAACCAGCUGAACCUUCCUGUGAGUGGCUGCAGCAGAGCUUCUCCCACAGAGAGCAGAAGGGUGUCCGGCCUGGCUAGAUCGAGCUGCUGUGAGUUGUUUUACGGUGGCUGGAGUGCCAAUCCCACUACCAACCCCCAAAAUGUUUCACUGCAAGUUGAAGGACCAUUGCAGGGCCGGAUGCAGUUUAACAUCAUACCCAGGACUUCAAAAAGAGCGAGUGAAAAAACAUUUGAAGAAUUAACUCUGGUUGCACUGCAUGACGCAGUUUGCAUUGUAUUCCUCAGGCUAUAUGGUGUCAGCCCCAGUCUACCACCGUUGUCUCUACCACUGCCACAGAAACUUUGGUAUGCCAGCUCAUAACUCAAAAACCAUUGAAUGGAUCUUUCUCAAACUUAGUGACGCUUAUUGACAGUGUAGGGAAGGGUGAAAGCAGAUCACAAAAAGUAUUUGAUGCAUCUUAUUACAGUGUCACAAAAACAUUAUAUGGAUGAAGAUCUACAUCUGUUUUCAUUUUUAGACAAAUUGCACCAAAAAUGAAGCAGCAGUGAAAUGAGGGAACAGAAGCAAACGGCAGCUUUAGAGGACAAUCUUGUUGCUUGUAGUUAAUCCCCUGUAUUCUGUAAUAUGUUCACUGUAUUAAUUUUACUGUGGAGAUGGAGCCCAGGUGUCAAACCACUGAUGUUCACUGUAUUAAUUUUACUGUGGAGAUAGAGCCCAGGUGUCAAACCACUGAUGUUCACUGUAUUAAUUUUACAGUGGAGAUGGAGCCCAGGUGUCAAACCACUGAUGUUCACUGUAUUAAUUUUACUGUGGAGAUGGAGCCCAGGUGUCAAACCACUGAUGUUCACUGUAUUAAUUUUACUGUGGAGAUGGAGCCCAGGUGUCAAACCACUGAUGUUCACUGUAUUAAUUUUACUGUGGAGAUGGAGCCCAGGUGUCAAACCACUGAUGUUCACUGUAUUUAUUUUACUGUGGAGAUGGAGCCCAGGUGUCAAACCACUGACACACAACGUAAACAUUUUUCUCUCCCUUUGCCGCUUCCUAACCCCCCUCAGGAGUUCUAAUGCAAAGCUGUCAGAGCCAUUUCCUUCAAAGCUGUCUGAGCCCCAUUGGCUAUUUUCUCCUUAUUUUGUACUUUAUGUCAACAGAAGAGACCACCUUAUGGUGUGUGUAAAAAACCAUUGGGGACAUUGCAGGAAGUGAUGAAGAUUAGAGACAGGAAAUGGGCCUCAUGUCUAGUUCUUAUUUUUGGGCUUUUUUUGUGGUAAUGUGAGAUGAUAGAAGUACCUGAAUAUGAAAUUACUGAUCUUUUAAGCACCCACCCUAUAUAGCAUUUCCACAAAACUCAUCGUCAGUGGAUAAAAUGAGCCCUCUACAUCUAUAUGCUGGAGAAGGCGUGCGAAAAAAUCAUCGUAAAUCAUCAUGACGGAAAGAUAUCCAGCUGUUACAUUUGUGAUUUUGUGAACAAUUUUCUUUAUUCAUGUAAUAAUUUGUUGCUGAAAAUGCGAUGAAGCCAGGAUCUGCAGCUUCCUCGCCUCGCGGCCAAGGGCAGGGCGUGGGCCUCGUUAGGUCCAAUCACCUGGGGCAAUAUCCCCGAUGCUACUCUUUCAAGUCAAGCCCUGGGUAAAGUUCACUUAGCCCCUGAUAUUUUUGAUAGCUAGAAACACCCUAGGGCUUGGUAAUACAACAGUUAAGCUUCACUGUGAAUUGUGUGGAUUCCCAGAUGUUAAGCCUGCUUUAC